UACAGAGGUCUCAAGCGUUGUUCGGAUUCAUUGGGCGUAAAGGGUGCGUAGGCGGCGCGGUAAGUCGGGUGUGAAAUCUCGGGGCUUAACUCCGAAACUGCAUUCGAUACUGCCGUGCUUGAGGACUGGAGAGGAGACUGGAAUUUACGGUGUAGCGGUGAAAUGCGCAGAUAUCGGGAGGAACACCGGUGGCGAAGGCGGGUCUCUGGGCAGUAACUGACGCUGAGGAGCGAAAGCGUGGGGAGCGAACAGG
rnacentral:rRNA from 1 species